rnacentral:rRNA from 1 species
CUACGGGCGGCAGCAGUGGGGAAUAUUGCACAAUGUGCGCAAGCCUUAUGCAUCCAUGCCGCGUGUAUGAAGAAGGCCUUCGGGUUGUAAAGUACUUUCAGCGGGGAGGAAGGGAGUAAAGUUAAUACCUUUGCUCAUUGACGUUACCCGCAGAAGAAGCACCGGCUAACUCCGUGCCAGCAGCCGCGGUAAUACGGAGGGUGCAAGCGUUAAUCGGAAUUACUGUGGCGUAAAGCGCACGCAGGCGGUUUGUUAAGUCAGAUGUGAAAUUCCCGGGCUCAACCUGGGAACUGCAUCUGAUACUGGCAAGCUUGAGUCUCGUAGAGGGGGGUAGAAUUCCAGGUGUAGCGGUGAAAUGCGUAGAGAUCUGGAGGAAUACCGGUGGCGAAGGCGGCCCCCUGGACGAAGACUGACGCUCAGGUGCGAAAGCGUGGGGAGCAAACAGGAUUAGAUACCCUCGUAGUC